ACUGCUCAUGAGAAAAUCACACACAGAAGAGACUGAUUUGUGCUGGGGGGUCAGGUUCAGUGUGAGUAGUUGAGGUUGCACAAGAUAGCAGCUGACACCACCAUGGCUGUGUGCACGAGACUGGCGUUACUGGGUGCUCUUUCCUUCUGACUUCAACCAGGCACUAAAGGUUACCAGCUCAUGGUGAUGAUUGUCAGAUUGGAACUCACAGUGUGUGAUAUAAAUAUAUCCACUAUCAUCCAAUCGGACACAAUGAGUGGGAGACUCCUGGGCAGAGCUGGGGAAGUGGGACACAGCUCCAGAGCUGAAGAAACUCGGAGUCACAUGACCUCCCAGAUAUAAAGACGUCUAAGAGGAAAUCCAAAUGUGGUGUUGGGGUCAGUUCUUUUCCAUGGACCAUGUGGAACCUCAGGUGGAGGAGGAAGGACAUGAGAUAAUGUCACACAAGAUACAUCGGUUCUUCAAAUAAGAGGAUAAAUAGCUCAGGUGACAGUUAAAAUUAGAGUAAGAAGAAUGUUCAGCCUGGUGACCAAACAGCUGCACACAUUGGAAGUCAGGUUGUUCUAAGCUCUGUGGAGCAUUUACCAUCCACCUGAGAGAAGAGUGAACUGCAGGAAGGUGAAGACCAGCAGGCUGUCAUCUGAGUGUGAGGAAAGAACCAGCGUCCCCUCUCUGCCAGCGUGGGUAUUACCUCUUUACACUUAAAUAGAGCUUCAUAAUGGUUUUC